ensembl:miRNA
AGGCGGGGAACCUGAGGCGCUGGCUGUGUCUGACUCAGCCACUCAGUCGCCCCGCCACA